UACGGAGGGUGCAAGCGUUAAUCGGAAUUACUGGGCGUAAAGCGUGCGCAGGCGGUUUGUUAAGUCUGUUGUGAAAUCCCCGAGCUCAACUUGGGAAUUGCAAUGGAUACUGGCAGGCUCGAGUAUGGUAGAGGAAGGUGGAAUUCCCGGUGUAGCAGUGAAAUGCGUAGAGAUCGGGAGGAACACCAGUGGCGAAGGCGGCUCGCUGGACCGGUUCUGACGCUGAUGCGCGAAAGCGUGGGGAGCAAACGGG
rnacentral:rRNA from 1 species